UACGUAGGGUGCAAGCGUUAAUCGGAAUUACUGGGCGUAAAGCGUGCGCAGGCGGUUUUGUAAGCCAGAUGUGAAAUCCCCGGGCUCAACCUGGGAAUGGCAUUUGGGACUGCAAGGCUCGAGUGCGGCAGAGGAGACUGGAAUUCCUGGUGUAGCAGUGAAAUGCGUAGAUAUCAGGAGGAACACCGAUGGCGAAGGCAGGUCUCUGGGCUGACACUGACGCUCAUGCACGAAAGCGUGGGGAGCAAACAGG
rnacentral:rRNA from 1 species